UUGGUUGCGAAAAGAUGUGCUGAGCUGCAGGCGUAUUAUCUCAUCUCAUCAUCAACUACGUUCUGAGCCAGAAACAGGAAAUGCUUAUUUUUCAGUGUGACGGCGCCUUCCAAGCAGCUAUCAGAAUGAACAAGAGAAAAUGGUAAAGAAAGACAAUUGAGACGAAGAUGCUUCCUAACGGUCGAUGUUUGUCUGUCAUCACACUUGUUUUUACAAUUGAGUGCAUGUUGACACAUGUGAGAGGAAAUGACCUGGAAAGCAAUGAUGAACCAGAUGCUACGUAUGCUUUGAUUGGAGCAGGAAUUGGGCUAUUCUUUGCCAUAUGCUUUAUUGGCAGCAAGCUCUACAUUAUAAAAAAACACAUGCUUGAUAUCGAAGCUUCAGAGGAAUCCGUAAAAAACCCAUCUCAUCAAACUGCUUUUGUGGACAUGAAGGACUUAAGAAGAGUAAGCGAUGGAUGAAGUGACAAGGAUACCAAAGAAUUCUGAAGAUAAAUGGAAAUGUUUUGGGCAUGGAAAUGUAAAAUAGCAAUUGCAUGAUGUGUGGGUUGGAAGUGUCUAUAAACAUGUGAAAGUGGAGUCUAGACAUUCGUGUUUGGUCUGCCUGUGGUCAAGGAUAGCUAUACAGUAUACUGUAUAGUCCAGGCCUGGGCAAAGGCCUGGACUACAUGCGGCCCGUGGAAUCAUGCUUAGAUCACAUAAAGAAUUUGCGAUGGUAAAAAAAAAAAAAAAACAUAGUUGUUAUUCAAAUUAAAAGUCCAGUGAAUAUUCGCCUUUGUAUAAUGCUUUAACUCCCACCGCUUGGGGGACAUUUAUUUUGAAGGCAUGUAAUAAAUAACAUCUGCAUGAGGACAGACAGUGACUGACAGGCUCCCACACACACGUCACAGUUACAAAUAGUAGCUAGCUAGAAAUUUGCUCAAAAAUGCAUUUUUCAAAAAUGUCAAAGAAAGGGAAAGUAGACCAUGAGCGUAGGGUGUUCCAGCAAGAGUGGACAUCUGUGUGCUUAGUGUGCAAAGACAGCACUUCCAGACGAAGCAUGCAGAGAAAUAUAGGAAUAUGUCUUCUGAGCAGAAGGCAAGUGCAUCGAAAGAGUUGCUUUCUCAGUUGCAAAAGCAGCAAGGACUUUUCACAAAACUGCAUUCAGCAAACGCCGGAAUUGCGAGAGCUAGCUAUGUACUGUCCCACAAAAUUGCUAAACAUAGCAAGUCAUUCGCCCCGGGGGCGAGUUCAUUAAAUCAUUUUUAAUUGACUCUGCAGCAAUACUUUGCCCAGACAAGAAAGAGCUGUUUGAAAAUGUUUCCCUGUCAAGACAAACAUUGACAGGGUGUGUUGAGGACAUCGCAGGGAAUAUGGGGACAACAGUUGAAAUACAAGGUCAAGGAUUUCACCUAUUUCCCCGUGGCCCUGGAUGAGAGCAGUGAUGCACGUGACACGGGGCAGUUGUUGAUAUUCUCCCGAGGUUUAACCCCAUACUUUGAAAUUACAGAGGAGCCUGCUUCAGUGCAAACGCCGGGGAAAGAUUUAUUGGCGGAGGUUAAUAAGUGUGUGGCAAAGCUGGGACUGAGUUUUGAAAAGUUCUCCAGCGUGACCACUGAUGGGUGCCCAAACCUGACAGGAAAAAAACAUUGGCCUUUUGAAAAGGAUACAAGAUCAAGUAGCUGAGCUGAACCCAGAUCAGAUAAUUAAUUUCCUGCAUUGCAUUAUUCAUCAGGAGGUGCUCUGGAAAUGUGUUUUGAAAAUGAGCCAAGUUGUGGAUAUUGUUACUAAAGUGGGAAUGAGAGCAACAUCUUUAAACCACAGGCAGUUUGUCUCACUGAGAAGGGUGUGGAACCUGAAGUCGGGGGAUUGCUGAGUUUUUGCAAAUGAAAGGAGGAACAUAUGUGGAUUUCCCUCAACUGCAAGAUAAAGAAUGGUUGACUGAUUUUGUCUUCACCGUGGACAUCAGGGCCCCCAUGAAUGAAUUGAAUUCCAAACUACAAGGGAAGGGCCUUUUUGCACAUCAGAUGUACAGCCUUGUCAAAGCAUUCAAGGGAAAAUUACUCUUCCUGACCUGCCGAAUGACAUGCUGUUGGUUUCCUCUUCUUUCACUUUCAAUGUGAAUAACGCUCCCACUGACCUGCAACUUGAGCUUAUCGAUCUUCAGCCUGAUGCAGUGAUUGGAGAACUAUUCAAAACAAUGUCACUGACGAGGUUCUAUGCAUCUCUCGAUGAACACAACUUUCAAAAGAUUAGGAGUCAAGCUCAGAAGAUGUUUGUACUGUUUUGGGUCAACCUAUGUAUGUGAACAGACAUUUUCAGUGAUGAAAUAUAACAAGUCAAGGCACAGAUCAUCUCUGACUGAUUCUCACCUCUCAACAAUCCUGCACAUAGCGACGUCAGAAACUAUACCUGACUUCACUGCUCUAGUCAAUGCCCAACAGAAACUUCACUCCUCCUCACACUGAUUGAGUAGUUUAAAUGUAAUGUUGAGCUCUCUCUCUCUCUCUUUCUUGUGUUCUUGUGCAUACCCGUUAACAAGAGUUCUGUCCGUGGUGCUGAAUACACAGUGUACUUUUCCCCUCAUGUGGUUCAUUGCAUGUUUAAUAAUGAAAAUACCUACCAAAAGGAGAACAUAGAUGUGGUUUAUUUCUGUGCAUGUCAAAAAGUUAAAUAAGUAUCAAAGCUGGAUGUGAUUUACAGUAGAUAUAUCUAACAGCACAGUCAUACACAUGAUAUAUAUUCCUGUAAUAUGAUUCUGGCCCACGAUGGCAAAAAUAUAUUCUAAUGUGGCCCUCCAUGGAAAAUAAUUGCCCAGGCCUGCUCUAGUCAAUAUUCAGGGCAUAAGAAGAAAUUCCCUUGACCACGCCCACAAAUUGGGGAAACCAAACCAUCUUCCCCAUUGACCCCCAUUGAAAAAGAGCCAACUACUUUGUAGAUUUUUUGUUAUAUACAGAUAUUAAAAACUAUGCCGAAAA